AUAUAAAGUUGUUGCGGUUAAAAAGCUCGUAGUUGGAUCUCAGUUCCGGAUCGACGGUUCGCCUCUGGCGAUUUACUGUCGGUCCGAACAGCUCGUCGGCUCACUCGGGGUGCUCUUCAUCGAGUGUCUCGCGUGGCCGGCACGUUUACUUUGAAAAAAUUAGAGUGCUCAAAGCAGGCCUACCGCCUGAAUAGUUGUGCAUGGAAUAAUGGAAUAGGACCUCGGUUCUAUUUUGUUGGUUUUCGGAACCCGAGGUAAUGAUUAAUAGAGACGGACGGGGGCAUUCGUAUUGCGACGCUAGAGGUGAAAUUCUUGGACCGUCGCAAGACGAACCACUGCGAAAGCAUUUGCCAAGAACGUUCUCAUUAAUCAAGAACGAAAGUUAGAGGUUCGAAGGCGAUCAGAUACCGCCCUAGUUCUAACCAUAAACGAUGCUGACUAGCGAUCCGUCUGUGUUAAUCCCAUGACUAGACGGGCAGCUUCCGGGAAACCAAAGUCUUUGAGUUCCGGGGGAAGUAUGGUUGCAAAGCUGAAACUUAAAGGAAUUGACGGAAGGGCACCACCAGGAGUGGAGCCUGCGGCUUAAUUUGACUCAACACGGGGAACCUCACCAGGCCCGGACACCGGAAGGAUUGACAGAUUGAGAGCUCUUUCUUGAUUCGGUGGGUGGUGGUGCAUGGCCGUUCUUAGUUGGUGGAGCGAUUUGUCUGGUUAAUUCCGAUAACGAACGAGACUCUAGCCUGCUAACUAGUCGGAGGGUCUUAUACAAGUGCCCUCCGCAGCUUCUUAGAGGGAUAAGCGGCAUCUA
rnacentral:rRNA from 1 species